UACGAAGGGUGCAACCGUUGCUCGGAAUCAUUGGGCGUAAAGCGCACGUAGGCGGCCCGAUAAGUCGGAUGUGAAAUCCCUCGGCUCAACCGAGGACGUGCAUUCGAAACUGUCGGGCUCGAGUAUGGAAGAGGGUCGCGGAAUUCCCGGUGUAGAGGUGAAAUUCGUAGAUAUCGGGAGGAACACCAGUGGCGAAGGCGGCGACCUGGGCCAAUACUGACGCUGAGGUGCGAAAGCGUGGGGAGCAAACAGG
rnacentral:rRNA from 1 species